rnacentral:rRNA from 1 species
UAGGGAAUCUUCCACAAUGGACGCAAGUCUGAUGGAGCAACGCCGCGUGAGUGAAGAAGGUUUUCGGACCGUAAAGCUCUGUUGUUGGUGAAGAAGGAUAGAGGUAGUAACUGGCCUUUAUUUGACGGUAAUCAACCAGAAAGUCACGGCUAACUACGUGCCAGCAGCCGCGGUAAUACGUAGGUGGCAAGCGUUGUCCGGAUUUAUUGGGCGUAAAGCGAGCGCAGGCGGAAGAAUAAGUCUGAUGUGAAAGCCCUCGGCUUAACCGAGGAAUUGCAUCGGAAACUGUUUUCUUGAGUGCAGAAGAGGAGAGU